rnacentral:misc_RNA from 1 species
GAAAUGCGAUAAGUAAUGUGAAUUGCAGAAUUCAGUGAAUCAUCGAAUCUUUGAACGCACAUUGCGCCCCAUGGUAUUCCGUAGGGCACGUCUGUCUGAACGUCAUUAUAAACUCAAGCUAUGCUUGGUGAUGGGGUCGGCUUUGGCCGUCUCCCGCAAUUUGUCGGCGGAGGCCGCCGUGAGCCUAUACGAUGAACAUCUUUAUCGAGCUUUGCGGUGAGCAACCUGCCAAAUGAACUCUACAGCUUGACUUCAGGUCAGACGAGGUUACCCGCUGAACUUAA